rnacentral:lncRNA from 1 species
CCAAACUCUUCAGUUUGAUGCGCUGCUGGCAGGGUAAGCUUUGCCGUUAUUGGAAGGAAAAGCAGUUGUAAUGGUGAUUCCACUCUGAAACAAAUCUAGAUUCACUUUUCAGAAAACAGAUUUGGUUAGUAGAGAUAUGACAUGCAUCCAUUAAUAAUGAAUUGCAGGUAAAUCUGAAAGAAAGCAUGGUAUGGAAUCCUUUGUAAUGUAUCUGUUGGUCAUUUGAAGCUGUUUUUGUUUUCAGGAAAUAAUUCACAAAUUAACGGACUUAUUCAGGAAGUUGCAGAUGAUUUCCCACCUCACUUGGAUACUUCUGAAAGGUGGUACCUGCAUGACUGUGAAGAGAUACCUAGGAAUGUGGAUGCCCAAAUUUUUAGCACCUCAGAACAUUCUAAGAUGCUCUGUCUCUUAUAGAGUUACAACUUUCUGCCACAAGUCCCACUUCUUUGUUUAUUCAUCAAAAUCAGGAAUGACUGUUGAUGAAGGACGACUUGCUGGCAUUAAGAAUUCCAGUAUAUUGUUCAUGUAAAAUAGCUGCAACUGCAGCCAAGAUUCUAUCAACUGGGUGAUUGUACCAGUUUCUCAUGUCACCUAAUUCCAUGCAUGUAAUUGCCGUUUCUGUAGCAUGUAGUUACCAUUUUUUACAAGUCUCAUAUAUUUUCAUAAGAGCACUCAGCUAUUAAAUCCUUAGAUCUGGUCUUUGGCUGCUGCACAGUGAGUUUAUUGGUUCAACCAGGUCUUUCUGGCUGCUCUGAACAUCUCUGUGAACACUUAAUACAGGACUCAGCCCAGUUUGGUCCCAGCAUUGUUCCUUCAAGCUUUAGGCUACAGUGUGGCAUUCAGAAAUUUGAAGUAUCAUUUC